rnacentral:rRNA from 1 species
GGGUCAGUAGGUUGGUCGUGCCACCGGUACGUACUGGUCUCACUGAUUCCUCCUUCCUGAAGAACCGUAGUGCCAUUAAUUUGGUGUUGCGGGGAAACAGGGCUGUUACUUUGAAAAAAUUAGAGUGUUUAAAGCAAGCUAACGCUUGAAUACAUUAGCAUGGAAUAAUGAAAUAGGACGAUCGAUCCUAUUUUGUUGGUUUCUAGGAUUGACGUA